GGACCCGCACAAGUAGUGGAGCAUGUGGUUUAAUUCGAAGAUACGCGCAGAACCUUACCAACACUUGACAUGUUCGUCGCGACUCUAAGAGAUUAGAGUUUUCGGUUCGGCCGGACGAAACACAGGUGCUGCAUGGCUGUCGUCAGCUCGUGUCGUGAGAUGUUGGGUUAAGUCCCGCAACGAGCGCAACCCUCACUUUUAGUUGCCAUCAUUAAGUUGGGCACUCUGAAAGAACUGCCAGUGAUAAGCUGGAGGAAGGUGGGGAUGACGUCAAGUCCUCAUGGCCCUUACGUGUUGGGCUACACACGUGCUACAAUGGUAUCUACAACAGGAAGCAAAACAGCGAUGUUAAGCAAAUCCCAGAAAGUGCAUCCCAGUUCGGAUUGAAGUCUGCAACUCGACUUCAUG
rnacentral:rRNA from 1 species